AGGAAAGGGGACGGCGCCGGCGGGGCUAGGAGCCGCCGUCACCGUCGAGUCACUGAGAGAAAGAGAGAGAGGCCGCGACUGGAAGGAGAGAGAGAAGCCGCCUCGCAUCUUGCUGUCGCUGCCGCCGUCGCCCUCAUCUCGGAUCGCCAUCGUCGCCGUCGCGGGGGAAGACCGGAGCUUCUGGUAGCCGCCAUCGAAGCAGAGUCGCGAAGAGAAAGAGCCCGCGGGUGAGAAAGCGAGCGUUGCAUCAGCCACCCUCAUCGACGUUCAUGCAUCGCCACUGCUGCUCCUGUCCGCAACGCCAGCUUCCACUGCCGUCGCAUCUCUCUUCACUGCCGCCAACAAGAACGCACGCGAGGAGCAGACGCGCGGAAGGAGGAAGACGGAGGGAGAAGGCGGCGCUGCUCGCGUUGCUGUGCCCAAUUGCCGUCUGCAGAGCCGCCGCUGGGAGUUACCGUCGGAGAUGUCGUUGCUCUGUGCUAGCGUUCUUCCUGAGUGCGAUGUUGGUACAGUAGGGCUGAGUUCCAGUGUUUGCACGUCGAAAUUAAGGUUGCUGUUGAACCACCGGGGCUUCUGGCCGCUAUCGGAGCUGCUGCCGAGUCAGUUCGGGAUUGCGGCUGCUCCGUUCUGCUAUUACCAUAUGCUGCUAUAGCUUGCUAGGAGAGAAAAGAGUGCUGGAAUAAAACCAGAUGUUGAUCUUGAUAUCUUCAUGAAGUCAAUAGCUUUUGGAGGACAGGAAACAGAUCUUGUGGUAGAGUACAUCAUAAAGGUAUUCAUUAAGCAAAUUGCGAAAUAGUUUAAUAUUUGUUGAGUUGAUAAAAAUGUAAAAAUAGAGAUUAAUAGGCUCUAGCUACUAGUAUCCCGUUUCAAUACAACUUACAUCAUAUUGACAUUUUUAUAAGUCUUCCAAACUCCUAAGUGUUAAGAUAUUUUCCACAAAGAUAUUAGGUUUGGACAUAUGUGGAAACACAUUGGUGGGCGAUGAAAUGCUCAAGAGCAUCUCAGAGGGACAAAAGAAGCGACUUAUAACAGGUUUAUUAUAACAUUGACAUAUAAUUUGUCUUAUAUUUUAGUAUGUGCUAUGCUAACCAAUUGAUGUGAGAUUUGCAGGAGACUUACUGAUUAAAAAUAUGUUGAUAAUUUUGUUAAUUUAAGUUUUAUUAAUUGUAAUUGUUAUUGCCAAUGAUGGCUUCUUGAUUUCUCUUUUUUAUUCAUUUAUUUAUUUUGUUAAUUGUUAUUGUCA